rnacentral:rRNA from 1 species
UACGUAGGGUGCGAGCGUUGUCCGGAAUUAUUGGGCGUAAAGAGCUCGUAGGCGGUGUGUCGCGUCGGCCGUGAAAACCUGGGGCUCAACUCUGGACGUGCGGUCGAUACGGGCAUCACUGGAGUUCGGCAGGGGAGACUGGAAUUCCUGGUGUAGCGGUGAAAUGCGCAGAUAUCAGGAGGAACACCGGUGGCGAAGGCGGGUCUCUGGGCCGAUACUGACGCUGAGGAGCGAAAGCAUGGGUAGCGAACAGG